rnacentral:rRNA from 1 species
UACGUAGGCAGCAAGCGUUGUUCGGAGUUACUGGGCGUAAAGGGUGCGUAGGUGGCGCCAUAAGUCAGGUGUGAAAUCUCGGGGCUCAACCCCGAAACUGCAUUUGAUACUGUGGUGCUCGAGUACUGGAGAGGAGAUUGGAAUUUACGGUGUAGCAGUGAAAUGCGUAGAUAUCGUAAGGAAGACCAGUGGCGAAGGCGAAUCUCUGGACAGUUACUGACACUGAGGCACGGAAGGCCAGGGGAGCAAACGGG